rnacentral:rRNA from 1 species
CUUGCUAAGUUUGAUGGCGACCGGCGCACGGGUGAGUAACACGUAUCCAACCUGCCGAUGACUCGGGGAUAGCCUUUCGAAAGAAAGAUUAAUACCCGAUGGCAUAGUUCUUCCGCAUGGUGGAACUAUUAAAGAAUUUCGGUCAUCGAUGGGGAUGCGUUCCAUUAGGUUGUUGGCGGGGUAACGGCCCACCAAGCCUUCGAUGGAUAGGGGUUCUGAGAGGAAGGUCCCCCACAUUGGAACUGAGACACGGUCCAAACUCCUACGGGAGGCACAUG